GCCAAGUCGCGUGAGGGAUGAAGGUUCUAUGGAUCGUAAACCUCUUUUAUAAGGGAAUAAAGUGUGGGACGUGUCCUAUUUUGUAUGUACCUUAUGAAUAAGGAUCGGCUAACUCCGUGCCAGCAGCCGCGGUAAUACGGAGGAUCCGAGCGUUAUCCGGAUUUAUUGGGUUUAAAGGGUGCGUAGGCGGCCUUUUAAGUCAGCGGUGAAAGUCUGUGGCUCAACCAUAGAAUUGCCGUUGAAACUGGGGGGCUUGAGUAUGUUUGAGGCAGGCGGAAUGCGUGGUGUAGCGGUGAAAUGCUUAGAUAUCACGCAGAACCCCGAUUGCGAAGGCAGCCUGCCAAGCCAUGACUGACGCUGAUGCACGAAAGCGUGGGGAUCAAACAGGAUUAGAUACCCUGGUAGUCCACGCAGUAAACGAUGAUCACUAGCUGUUUGCGAUACAGUGUAA
rnacentral:rRNA from 1 species